UACGUAGGGUGCGAGCGUUGUCCGGAAUUAUUGGGCGUAAAGGGCUCGUAGGCGGUUUGUCGCGUCGGGAGUGAAAACGCCGUGCUUAACACGGCGCUUGCUUUCGAUACGGGCAGACUAGAGGUAUGCAGGGGAGAACGGAAUUCCCGGUGUAGCGGUGAAAUGCGCAGAUAUCAGGAAGAACACCCGUGGCGAAGGCGGCUCUCUGGGACGGUACUGACGCUGAGACGCGAAAGCGUGGGGAGCGAACAGG
rnacentral:rRNA from 1 species